rnacentral:misc_RNA from 1 species
AAAAGUCGUAACAAGGUUUCCGUAGGUGAACCUGCGGAAGGAUCAUUAACAAUCUAUUCCAAAACGCGUCUUCUUGGAAGCAUUAGAGGGCAUGGUGCGUUUACACGCGCUAUCCUCUAGUACUCCAAGAAUGUACACUACACACUUACAUUACAACAACAACCAAGGAACAUAACCUAAAGUUUAAUAACUAUAUAAAAACAACUUUUAACAAUGGAUCUCUUGGCUCUU